rnacentral:lncRNA from 1 species
UUUCUCUCAAUGGUCCAUGGCUUUCCUAAGAAGCCAGCAUUGCUGCUAUAGUGGAACCAGGGGCUCUUAGUGGCUAUCGAAGCUUUGUUACAGCUGCCAGAACACAAAAUAAAUGAAGGUCAUGUCUGAAUAUCCUUAGAGAAUCCUGUCUGCAACAGAUCAACUAUUGAAUAUUUAUAAUGUACAGAUAGUUUUGGAAACUUGGAAAAAUACCUCUCAGGCUGACUUUAGAGUUUUUUUUUUUUACAAUUUACUCAAUUUUAAAAUCCUAAAGUACAAUGCAUACCUAUUUGUUUCAGGAAGAUUAUUCUGACUGCCAUCUUCCUUAGGCCUCACUGUAUCAUAACCCCUACAAAAGUUUCAACUCGGGAAGGAGCCUGUGAAUUGUGCAGAAAAUGUUGGUGGAUUUGGAAAAUGUUCUGUUUGUAGAAGGAGCAGAACUUGGACAGAUGCUGGCUAUACAAGGUAAAAGAGGAAAGAAAGUAGAACAUAAUUCAGAAAUUUAUCCUUUGGACAUGCUAUAAUACUUCUAAAGCUAUUUGAAAUGAACGGAUCUAGAAUCCCAGAAGAAGAAAAAUGCAUUUAACACAUUGGAGAUUGCAUCCUGAAGACAGCCUUUUGUGUCAAAAGAGAAUUGACCGGGAGAAGAUUGAAACAGCUCACUCAGUUGAAGAUGGGUAAAAUAAUUCCAAUGGUUAGGAAAAUAAACUGCCCCCCCAUCCUUUUUCCUGUUAUUCCUGACUGCCCUGUCUUAUUCCAGAAAAUAUUGAGAUGUCUGACAGUGAUCAUAAAGUUUUGUUUUUUGAAAUUAUCGUUAGAUUCCACAUGACCU